rnacentral:lncRNA from 1 species
GCACAGAUUAAAAUAUGACAUAAAAACAGGUACACAUGCCUCUUGUCUCUAAAACUAUCGUUCUCUUAAAAUUAGGUUUAGAAAUUCUUUUAUUAAGUUAGAGACGUGUAGGACCAAAAGGCUCUUCUCUCAGUCAACAUAGGACAAUUCCUAGAAACAAGAGCCACAACUGAACUGGGGGAUGGGAUUCUACACUCGCUGCUUCAGGUACCACAAGUGCCAUAUCGCGCUGGCCUGGGCAACGUUUUUCAUCUCUCUCCAUUUUUCUUCCGAUUUUGCUCCCAUUUGUGCGCAUUCAACCAAUUCCUUCCAAUCAAUUCAUGCGGAUAUAAACAGCAAAAUUAGGCUAAAGUAGUCAUAACACACAUUAAAAUUAACAAUAGUAGGGCAAAAUAUAUGAUUGUGCAGUAGGUUAUCAUAUUGUACAGAACAAAAUAUUAAUUUCUUUUAUAAAGGACCUAUGACCUUAACACUCUUUCUUAUUGUAAUGAUGAAAAAAAGUUGUUGUAUACUAGCAGCAACACUACUUCUCUUUCUUUCUUCCUGGAGACUUCUAUUGACUUCCAUGGAUUAAAUAUACUGUUAUGUCGGCAAGUAAACAAACUUAUGAACUUAUAACUUAUGCCAAAUAUUUAGUUUAUGAGACUAAUGUCACAUCCUUAGUUGUUAACUGAGCACACGUGUGGCACUUGACAACUCGAUCAAGAUCUUGUACAACUUGCUCAUGUUCUUGCUAUGCCAAGUCAGUCCUACUCACUCAAGAUCGCUAAGAGAAUGGAAGAAAGAACACAAGAGAAUUAUUAAAAGAAGCUUUAUAUUAGAGAGAACAUGAA